UACGGGGGGGGCAAGCGUUGUUCGGAAUUACUGGGCGUAAAGGGCUCGUAGGCGGCCAACUAAGUCGGAUGUAAAAUCCCCAGGCUCAACCUGGGAACUGCAUCCGAUACUGGAUGGCUUGAAUUCGGGAGAGGGAUGCGGAAUUCCAGGUGUAGCGGUGAAAUGCGUAGAUAUCUGGAGGAACACCGGUGGCGAAGGCGGCGAUCC
rnacentral:rRNA from 1 species